rnacentral:rRNA from 1 species
AUUGAACGCUGGCGGCAGGCCUAACACAUGCAAGUCGAACGAGAGGCGGACGGGUGAGUAAUGGCUGGGAAACUGCCUGAUGGAGGGGGCAGACUACUGGAAACGGUAGCUAAUACCGCAUACCAUCGGAUGUGCCCAGAUGGGAUUACCUAGUAGGUGGGGUAAAGGCGCACCAAGGCGACGAUCCCUAGCUGGCCUGAGAGGCUGACCGCCCAAACUGGGACUGAGACACGUCCCGGACUCCUACGGGAGGCAGAAGUUGGGAAUAUUUCACAAUGGAGGCAAGCCUGAUGCAGCCAUGCCGCGUGUAUGAAGAAGGUCGUCGGGUUGUAAAGUACUUUCGGCGGGGAGGCGUUACCCGCCGAAUAAGCACCGGCUAACUCCGUGCCAGCAGCCGCGGUAAUAC